CUGAUGCACCUGUAGCGCCUUCCUGAGGGCAACAGGUCAAACAGAUCUGAGCCGGGGUGGGAGCUGUCCUUGAUGAUGUUCUCUGCUCUGCUGAAGCAGCGGGAGUUGUAGAUGUCCAUCAGGGAAAUCUCCUUUUAAUUCUUACUUUGGUU